rnacentral:rRNA from 1 species
GACGAACGCUGGCGGCGUGCCUAAUACAUGCAAGUCGAACGCAGUGGGGACGGGUGAUUAACACGUGGGUAACCUCCCAUCAGAGGGGAUAACACUUGGAAACAGGUGCUAAACUGCUACUGAUGGAUGGACCCGCGGUGCUUUAGCUAGUUGGUGAGGUAACGGCUCACCAAGGCCACGAUGCAUAGCCGGCCUGAGAGGGGGAUCGGCCACACUGGAACUGAGACACGGCCCAGACUCCUACGGGAGGCAGCAGUAGGGAAUCUUCGGCAAUGGACGAAAGUCUGACCGAGCAACGCCGCGUGAGUGAAGAAGGUUUUCGGAUCGUAAAACUCUGUUGGUGGAGAAGCGGUAUCUAACCAGAAAGCCACGGCUAACUACGUGCCAGCCGCCGCGGUAAUAC